GGUGGUUUCUGGAGCAGCCGCCCCUAAUAAGGGGAGGAAAGUCCGGACUCCACAGGGCAGGAAGCUGCCGAAAGGCAGGCAGGGGUAACCCUGCGGAUAGGGCAACAGAGAGAAGACUUCCUGUCCCGAUAAGCGGUAAAGUAGGUGGUAACACCGAACAGCUUAUCCGGACAGGUAAAGGUGAAACGGUAGGGUAAGAGCCUACCAGCUGACAGGGUGACCUGUCAGGCUAUGCAACCCCCUUCCGGAGCAAUCCCAAAUAGGUGGAGGUUUGAAGGUGGCCCGCCUGAUAGCCGUAAGGCUAACCUCCACGGGUUGGGAGCUGAGACAAAUGGCUGCAUAAACAGAAUCCGGCUUACAGGAAACCACCGGCA
rnacentral:RNase_P_RNA from 1 species